CGUUGAAACACUGAUUCCCGUGCGAUCACGGAAGUUAAGCAACGUCGAGCCUGGUCAGUACCUAGAUGGGUAACCGCUGGGGAUUAUCAGGUGCUAU